rnacentral:rRNA from 1 species
AACGUAGGAGACAAACGUUAUCCGGAGUUACUGGGCGUAAAGGGCGUGUAGGCGGUUUGUUAAGUUUGGCGUGAAAGCUCUCGGCUAAACCGGGAGAGGUCGUUGGAUACUGGCAAACUAGAGGACGGUAGAGGCGUGUGGAAUUCCGGGUGUAGUGGUGAAAUGCGUAGAGAUCCGGAGGAACACCAGUGGCGAAGGCGGCUUUCUGGUCCGAUACUGACGCUGAUGUGCGAAAGCGUGGGGAGCGAUCCGG